GCCCCAGUAGCUCAGGAGGAUAGAGCGCGGGAUUCCUAAUCCCGGAGCCGGGGGUUCGAAUCCUCCCUGGGGCA
rnacentral:tRNA from 1 species